rnacentral:rRNA from 1 species
AUGAACGCUAGCUACAGGCUUAACACAUGCAAGUCGAGGGGAAACGACAUCGAAAGCUUGCUUUUGAUGGGCGUCGACCGGCGCACGGGUGAGUAACGCGUAUCCAACCUGCCCACCACUUGGGGAUAACCUUGCGAAAGUAAGACUAAUACCCAAUGACGUCUCUAGAAGACAUCUGAAAGAGAUUAAAGAUUUAUCGGUGAUGGAUGGGGAUGCGUCUGAUUAGCUUGUUGGCGGGGUAACGGCCCACCAAGGCGACGAUCAGUAGGGGUUCUGAGAGGAAGGUCCCCCACAUUGGAACUGAGACACGGUCCAAACUCCUACGGGAGGCAGCAGUGAGGAAUAUUGGUCAAUGGACGAGAGUCUGAACCAGCCAAGUAGCGUGCAGGAUGACGGCCCUAUGGGUUGUAAACUGCUUUUAUAAGGGAAUAAAGUGAGUCUCGUGAGACUUUUUGCAUGUACCUUAUGAAUAAGGACCGGCUAAUUCCGUG